rnacentral:rRNA from 1 species
UACGUAGGUGACGAGCGUUGUCCGGAUUUACUGGGCGUAAAGAGCGCGCAGGCGGUCGUUCAAGUCGAGUGUGAAAGCCCCCGGCUCAACUGGGGAGGGUCAUUCGAUACUGAUCGACUCGAAGGCAGGAGAGGGAAGUGGAAUUCCCGGUGUAGUGGUGAAAUGCGUAGAUAUCGGGAGGAACACCAGUGGCGAAGGCGACUUCCUGGCCUGUUCCUGACGCUGAGGCGCGAAAGCUAGGGGAGCAAACGGG